rnacentral:rRNA from 1 species
GACGAACGCUGGCGGCGUGCCUAAUACAUGCAAGUCGAACGCAGUGGGGACGGGUGAGUAACACGUGGGUAACCUCCCAAUAGAGGGGAUAACACUUGGAAACAGGUGAUAAACCGAUACUGAUGGAUGGACCCGCGGUGGAUUGGCUAUUUGGUGAGGUAACGGGUCACAAAGGCCCCGUUGCAUAGCUGGCCGUCGAGGGUGAUGGGCGACAGUGCGACUGAGACACGGCCCAGACUCCUGCGGCAGGCGGCAGUAGGGAGUCUUCGGCAAUGGACGAAAGUCUGACGGAGCAACGCCGGGUGAGUGAAGAAGGUUUUCGGAUCUGAAAUCUCUGUUGUUAGAGAAGCGGUAUCUAGCGAGGAAGCCACGGCUAACUACGUGCCAGCAGCCGCGGUAAUAC